UUAAAAGGUACUCCUUCUCAUGGUGAUAAGAAGAAAAAGUCUUUAGUGACAAGUAACCAAGUUAUUCUAUUCACUUGUUUGUACCACAAUUUUAACAUUUACUGCACUUUAUGUACCUACAGCGGCUUAUGAAUCAGAAGUCUCACACAUUCACAGGAAAUAACUUAAACCACAUGAAAAAGUAAGAUGGAUAUACAGUGACACCUAACCUGAAAACCCAGAAUUAAUUUUUGUAACUCAAAGUAAAGACUGAACAGUGUAAAACAUGGUAAAAGAUAAUAAAGCAUUCUGUAAGCCCAUGGUUCAAAUUUAAAAAGCUUUUCUGUAAUGUGUAUAGGUCCAAUUACAGAGCCUGUUUGAGAAAGCAGAAGAGAAAAUAAAACAAGGUGAAAAGAUACUUCAAGAACAUCAGAAAGCUUGUCGCAGCAUCAUAGUAAGUUUAAACCUCUAUGCAUCCCCUAUUUAAUCUAAAUAAAAGUAAAUAUCCUAACCUGAGAUAUAAGGACUACAGGUUCUCAUAAAUGAACACAACAUGCACGCAUUACAUAUUGUGUGUGUGUGUGUGUGUGUGUGUGUGUGUGUGUGUGUGUGUGUGUGUGUGUGUGUUUCAGGAGGACUAUUCUGUGAGUGAUGUCUCCCAGGUGUUACAGAUGGGUUCAGCCCUGCAGGCUCAGGUGGGCAGACUGGUGUCAGCCGUGAUAAAAAUCAUGGAGCUGGAGAGACAGCAGGUCAUGGAGAGGGUGCAGGAAGAGUGCAGCAGAGAAAGAGAAGAUCUGAACCAAACUGAGAGCAUCCACCACUUAUUUGGCUCCCUGCUGGAUGAGAGCGACCCCUUCCUGCUCAUCUGGGUAUUCCAAACAGAGGGUUCACAGUAAGUCUUUAGAUAAACCGUGAUUGUUUUAGUGAGUGUCAUAGCAAAAUCUUGUUAUUUGUGAGUGCAGUGGUAUGUAUCUUUUACUGUAUUAGUUGCUCUAUUCUUCUUUGUAGGAUGAUGGCAGAUCUCAACACACCUCUGUUCACACCACCUUAGCCCAGCAUGGAUAAGAAAUGUGUUUUAGAGAAUGUGGAAAAUAAAUACAGAGAAUUCAUAGCUGAGACCCUGCA
ensembl:lncRNA